CAUGCAGUCGACGCGAAGGGGCUUCGGCCCUGAGUAGAGUGGCGAACGGGUGAGUAACACGUGGGUGAUCUACCUCUGAGUGGGGGAUAACCUUCCGAAAGGAGGGCUAAUACCGCAUGACGUUCUGGGUUUGAAGACCUGGAGACCAAAGUCGGGGACCGCAAGGCCUGACGCUUGGAGAGGAGCCCGCGCCUGAUUAGCUAGUUGGCGGGGUAACGGCCCACCAAGGCGACGAUCAGUAGCCGGCCUGAGAGGGCGGACGGCCACACUGGGACUGAGACACGGCCCAGACUCCUACGGGAGGCAGCAGUGGGGAAUUGUUCGCAAUGGGCGCAAGCCUGACGACGCAACGCCGCGUGGAGGAUGAAGGUCUUCGGAUUGUAAACUCCUGUUGAUCGGGACGAACGGGCUCUGGGUAAAUACCCCGGAGUAGUGACGGUACCGAUUGAGGAAGCCACGGCUAACUCUGUGCCAGCAGCCGCGGUAAUACAGAGGUGGCAAGCGUUGUUCGGAAUUACUGGGCGUAAAGGGCGCGUAGGCGGCCUUGUCAGUCAGACGUGAAAUCCCCAGGCUUAACCUGGGAACUGCGUCUGAUACUACAAGGCUGGAGUUCGGGAGAGGAAUGUGGAAUUCCAGGUGUAGCGGUGAAAUGCGUAGAUAUCUGGAGGAACACCGGUGGCGAAGGCGGCAUUCUGGACCGAAACUGACGCUGAGGCGCGAAAGCCAGGGGAGCAAACGGGAUUAGAUACCCCGGUAGUCCUGGCCCUAAACGAUGAGUGCUUGGUGUG
rnacentral:rRNA from 1 species